UGGGGAAUCUUCCGCAAUGGACGAAAGUCUGACGGAGCAACGCCGCGUGAGUGAUGACGGCCUUCGGGUUGUAAAGCUCUGUUAAUCGGGACGAAAGGCCUUCUUGCGAAUAGUGAGAAGGAUUGACGGUACCGGAAUAGAAAGCCACGGCUAACUACGUGCCAGCAGCCGCGGUAAUACGUAGGUGGCAAGCGUUGUCCGGAAUUAUUGGGCGUAAAGCGCGCGCAGGCGGAUAGGUCAGUCUGUCUUAAAAGUUCGGGGCUUAACCCCGUGAUGGGAUGGAAACUGCCAAUCUAGAGUAUCGGAGAGGAAAGUGGAAUUCCUAGUGUAGCGGUGAAAUGCGUAGAUAUUAGGAAGAACACAAGUGGCGAAGGCGACUUUCUGGACGAAAACUGACGCUGAGGCGCGAAAGCCAGGGGAGCGAACGGG
rnacentral:rRNA from 1 species